rnacentral:rRNA from 1 species
CACACGACUCUCGGCAACGGAUAUCUCGGCUCUCGCAUCGAUGAAGAACGUAGCGAAAUGCGAUACCUGGUGUGAAUUGCGGAAUCCCGUGAACCAUCGAGUCUUUGAACGCAAGUUGCGCCCGAGGCCAUUCGGCCGAGGGCACGCCUGCCUGGGCGUCACGC